rnacentral:tRNA from 2 species
GGGGAUGUAGCUCAGAGGGAGAGCACCUGCCUUGCACGCAGGGGGUCGUCGGUUCGAAUCCGAUCAUCUCCACCA